GUCUACGGCCAUACCACCCUGAACGCGCCCGAUCUCGUCUGAUCUCAGAAGCUAAGCAGGGUCGGGCCUGGUUAGUACUUGGAUGGGAGAAGUAGGUCACUGACUUCA
rnacentral:rRNA from 1 species